rnacentral:rRNA from 1 species
GACGAACGCUGGCGGCGUGCCUAAUACAUGCAAGUAGAACGCUGAAGGAGGAGCUUGCUUCUCUGGAUGAGUUGCGAACGGGUGAGUAACGCGUAGGUAACCUGCCUGGUAGCGGGGGAUAACUAUUGGAAACGAUAGCUAAUACCGCAUAAUAGCAGUUAUUGCAUGAUAACUGUUUAAAAGGUGCAAUUGCAUCACUACCAGAUGGACCUGCGUUGUAUUAGCUAGUUGGUGGGGUAACGGCUCACCAAGGCGACGAUACAUAGCCGACCUGAGAGGGUGAUCGGCCACACUGGGACUGAGACACGGCCCAGACUCCUACGGGAGGCAGCAGUAGGGAAUCUUCGGCAAUGGACGGAAGUCUGACCGAGCAACGCCGCGUGAGUGAAGAAGGUUUUCGGAUCGUAAAGCUCUGUUGUAAGAGAAGAACGAGUGUGAGAGUGGAAAGUUCACACUGUGACG